UUCUUAUUAAGAGAGAUGGAGGGACUGGCCCGAUGAAAUCUCAGCAACAGGCUAUAAAAGUACUGUGCUAAGUCCAGCAAACGUAUGAAGCGUUUGGAAGAUGAGGG
rnacentral:ncRNA from 18 species